rnacentral:rRNA from 1 species
GCCUAACACAUGCAAGUCGAACGCGAAAGUCCCGCAAGGGAUUAGUAGAGUGGCAAACGGGUGAGUAACACGUGGGUGACCUGCCUUCGAGUGGGGGAUAACGUCCCGAAAGGGACGCUAAUACCGCAUAACAUCCUGCCUUUGAAGAGGUGGAGAUCAAAGCUGGGGACCGCAAGGCCUAGCACUCAAGGAGGGGCCCGCGCCUGAUUAGCUAGUUGGUGAGGUAACGGCCCACCAAGGCUACGAUCAGUAUCCGGCCUGAGAGGGCGGACGGACACACUGGGACUGAGACACGGCCCAGACUCCUACGGGAGGCAGCAGUGGGGAAUUGUUCGCAAUGGGCGCAAGCCUGACGACGCAACGCCGCGUGGAGGAUGAAGACCUUCGGGUCGUAAACUCCUUUCGAUCGAGACGAAUGGCUUCCGGGUAACAAUCUGGAAGAGUGACGGUACCGAGAGAAGAAGCCCCGGCUAACUCCGUGCCAGCAGCCGCGGUAAUACGGGGGGGCAAGCGUUGUUCGGAAUUACUGGGCGUAAAGGGCUCGUAGGCGGCCAACUAAGUCAGACGUGAAAUCCCUCGGCUUAACCGGGGAACUGCGUCUGAUACUGGAUGGCUUGAGAUUGGGAGAGGGAUGCGGAAUUCCAGGUGUAGCGGUGAAAUGCGUAGAUAUCUGGAGGAACACCGGUGGCGAAGGCGACAUCCUGGACCAAUACUGACGCUGAGGAGCGAAAGCCAGGGGA